UGGCCACAUUACAUUGAAACAGCGGUUCCCGUAUGAUCACUGCUGUUAAGCAACACUGAGCCUAGUCAGUACCUUAGCAGGUGGUUGCUUGGGAAUACCAGGCGCUGUAAG